AUUUACAGAAAGAAUGUUAGUUAGUUAGUUAGUUAGUGUACUUACACUGUCCUCCUAACAGCAGACAUCCAGUCACAGUGGAGGAAGAGCAGGAAAACGGGCUGUUACAGAGUUGCUUUCUGUAUUCACAGUGGAUUGGGUAAAAAAGUUCUCUGCCUAAAAGGACAUGAGCUGAACACCUGCUGAACUCUGCUCCCACAUCUUCUCCAGGAGACGUGAGGGAGGGUGACUCCUCAGCCG
rnacentral:lncRNA from 1 species